UUUUUUUAGAAUUUAUUUUUAUUCUUUCAGACCUCUCAGGGAUGAACGGACAUAGGCUUCUAACACUUAGGUGUGGGCAACAUUCUUCGAAGCACCUCCCUCAAAGUGGAAAAGGCCUGGGGGCUCAGACGAGAGAAGAGAGAAGGCAGGGAGAAGGUGGAGGUGAGGAAGGGAGGAGGGGGCCCAGGGCUCAGUGGGGUGUUGGGGAGGGUGGGAUUCCACCGGGGUUUGCCCAUCCACAGCUCAGUGGGGGGAUCUAUGGAGUGUGUCUAGCAAGAGAGGACCCAUGGCAGGCUUGGUAACUAACAUCAUGCAGUAGCUUCUUCUAUUCUCUCUUAUUUUUUUGGAAACGGAGUCUCGCUCUUGUUGCCCAGGCUGGAGUACAGUGGCACAAUCUCAGCUCACUGCAACCUCUGCCUCCCAGGUUCAAGUAAUUC
rnacentral:lncRNA from 10 species